rnacentral:tRNA from 1 species
GCUUGGGUAGCUCAGUUGGUAGAGCACUUGCCCAUGAAAGGCAAAGGUCCCGAGUUCGAGUCUCGGUCCGGAACA